rnacentral:rRNA from 1 species
UACAGGGGGUGCAAACGUUGCUCGGAAUUACUGGGCGUAAAGCGUGCGCAGGCGGUUCGUUGUGUCGGCGGUGAAAGCCCCGGGCUUAACCUGGGAAUGGCCGUUGAAACUGGCGAACUGGAGUGUGGCAGAGGGGGGUGGAAUUCCGCGUGUAGCAGUGAAAUGCGCAGAUAUCAGGAAGAACACCCGUGGCUAAGGCGGCUCUCUAGUACGGUACUGACGCUGAGACGCGAAAGCGUGGGGAGCGAACAGG